rnacentral:rRNA from 1 species
GAUGAACGCUGGCGGCGUGCCUAAUACAUGCAAGUCGAGCGAACAGACGAGGAGCUUGCUCCUCUGACGUUAGCGGCGGACGGGUGAGUAACACGUGGAUAACCUACCUAUAAGACUGGGAUAACUUCGGGAAACCGGAGCUAAUACCGGAUAAUAUAUUGAACCGCAUGGUUCAAUAGUGAAAGACGGUUUUGCUGUCACUUAUAGAUGGAUCCGCGCCGCAUUAGCUAGUUGGUAAGGUAACGGCUUACCAAGGCAACGAUGCGUAGCCGACCUGAGAGGGUGAUCGGCCACACGGGAGCGGAGACACGGACCAGACGCCUACGGGAGGCAGCAGUAGGGAAUCUUCCGCAAUGGGCGAAAGCCUGACGGAGCAACGCCGCGUGAGUGAUGAAGGUCUUGGGAUCGUAAAACUCUGUUAUUAGGGAAGAACAAAUGUGUAAGUAACUAUGCACGUCGUGACGGUACCUAAUCAGAAAGCCACGGCUAACUACGUG